rnacentral:rRNA from 1 species
GACGAACGCUGGCGGCGUGCUUAACACAUGCAAGUCGAACGAUGAACCCGGAGCUUGCUCUGGGGGAUUAGUGGCGAACGGGUGAGUAACACGUGAGUAACCUGCCCUGGACUCUGGGAUAAGCGUUGGAAACGACGUCUAAUACCGGAUAGGACCUUGGAUCGCAUGAUCUGGGGUGGAAAGUUUUUUCGGUCUGGGAUGGACUCGCGGCCUAUCAGCUUGUUGGUGAGGUAAUGGCUCACCAAGGCGUCGACGGGUAGCCGGCCUGAGAGGGUGACCGGCCACACUGGGACUGAGACACGGCCCAGACUCCUACGGGAGGCAGCAGUAGGGAAUAUUGCACAAUGGGCGAAAGCCUGAUGCAGCAACGCCGCGUGCGGGAUGACGGCCUUCGGGUUGUAAACCGCUUUUAGUAGGGAAGAAGGGCUUCGGCUUGAUGGUACCUGCAGAAAAAGGACCGGCUAACUACGUG